GGAAGAUCAUCUUGUCUAAAAGUGAUGCCUAAAAAUGGAGAUGGGUGAAACCAGAAUAAAAUAGAUCUCCACUUUGUGUUUGAAAUCCUCCCUAUGAGAAUUUGCCAACCAGUUUUUUGGGUUUACUCAAGUUCACUGCUGUUGUCUGACUGACAGUUAUGAAGCAUGGAAGCCCUCAGACCAUCUCUGCAUCAAGUGUUCUCUAGGAUGAGAGCCAUUCAUCUGUCACAUCAAGCCACUGCUGGCAGAUUGCAUCCUACGCCUCUCUCAGAAGUCCCCUUUCUGGACUUAGUAGUCUCUGAUGCAAUACUACGCUUUCUAAGGCUCAGUUGUCCAUGCAUUUCUAAUGAAGUGACUGAAAUAUGAAGCUCAGAAACAAAAUGGCAAAGUAUGUUACAGACUAGCAAUUUUGGUUGAUGCAUUCUCUUCCUGGUGAGUUUACAUCUACUACCUUACAAGAGAACACAGUAACUAACAACUGCUAAAGAUGGAGGAGAGUUUCUUCCGAUGAAAAAGAAUGAAAGCUCAAUGAUUUCUUCAAAACCAUCCUCCUCUUGCUGAAGACAAGAAGUAGGAGAAAAAUGCUGGUAGCAGACAUUUUAAAGCUCAAAGUGAUUUGAACAUUUCU
ensembl:lncRNA